GUCUCUGUAGCUCAGCUGGUUAGAGUGCCACAUUGGUAAUGUGGAGGUCCCGAGUUCGAUUCUCGGCAGAGGCU
rnacentral:tRNA from 1 species